rnacentral:rRNA from 1 species
UCCCACCUGAAUCCAUGCCGAACUCAGAAGUGAAACGCAGCAGCGCCGAUGGUAGUGUGGGGUCUCCCCAUGUGAGAAUAGGACAUCGCCAAGC